rnacentral:rRNA from 1 species
UACGAGGGGAGCUAGCGUUAUUCGGAAUUACUGGGCGUAAAGCGCACGUAGGCGGCUUUGUAAGUCAGGGGUGAAAGCCCAGAGCUCAACUCUGGAAUAGCCUUUUAGACUGCAUCGCUUGAAUCCAGGAGAGGUGAGUGGAAUUCCGAGUGUAGAGGUGAAAUUCGUAGAUAUUCGGAAGAACACCAGUGGCGAAGGCGGCUCACUGGACUGGUAUUGACGCUGAGGUGCGAAAGCGUGGGGAGCAAACAGG